rnacentral:ncRNA from 1 species
CGUACGAAAGGGCAAAUUCACUGAAAGGUGAAGACGCAAAACUUUAGGGGCUAAUGUUGAAAAACGAUGCCAGCCAGUUACCGAA